UUAUUUGAUGCGCGUGUGGCACACUCGAGUCCAAGGCGUGAAAAUAAGAUUGUAAUUUCCAUUAAAUUUCAAGGGCAUUUCUUUUCUCCACCACUAUAAAUAUUACUCAAAAUUGUUUAUUGAUUGUGGAGAAUCCAAAGAGACUAAAAAUCCUGUUAUUAGAUGGGGUCAGAUCAUAAAGUUCAUCUAUUUGAGGAGGUUGCAAAGCACAACAAGACCAAAGAUUGUUGGCUUAUUAUCAGUGGAAAGGUGUAUGAUGUGACUCCAUUUAUGGAAGAUCAUCCAGGUGGUGAUGAAGUUUUGCUAGGGAGAUGAUGGAUAAAUAUUACAUUGGAGAUAUUGAUCAGUCAACAGUUCCUCUAAAACGUGCUUACAUUCCUCCAGAACAAGCCCCAUACAAUCCAGACAAGACUUCAGAAUUUGUUAUCAAAAUUUUGCAAAUCCUUGUGCCCCUCUUGAUUUUGGGCUUAGCCUUUGCUGUGCGACACUACACCAAGGAGAAGUAAAUCCAUUACAAUCUAAUUCGAAUAUCCAGAAUGCUUUCUAUUUGAAUUACAUAGGAGCUAUAGUAGCUGAACCAUGAUUAUCAGUUUGUAUGUGCUUCACAGUUGCCAUUCGUAAUGACCUCUAUGUUGUUAACAAUAGACUUCACUGGGUUUAUAUCUAUGUCAUUUGACAGACGGCCUUCUCUA